rnacentral:rRNA from 1 species
UACGGAGGGGGGCUAGCGUUGUUCGGAAUUACUGGGCGUAAAGCGCACGUAGGCGGCUUUGCAAGUUAGAGGUGAAAGCCCGGGGCUCAACUCCGGAAUUGCCUUUAAAACUGCAUCGCUAGAAUUGUGGAGAGGUAAGUGGAAUUCCGAGUGUAGAGGUGAAAUUCGUAGAUAUUCGGAAGAACACCAGUGGCGAAGGCGACUUACUGGACACAUAUUGACGCUGAGGUGCGAAAGCGUGGGGGAGCAAACAGG